AGUGGCGAACGGGUGAGUAAUACAUGGGUAAUCUGCCUUCGAGCGGGGGAUAACCAGCCGAAAGGCUGGCUAAUACCCCAUACGCUUCCGGUCCCUCGGGUAAGGAAGGAAAGCUGCAUCGUGGAUGUGGCACUCGAAGAUGGGCUCAUGGCCUAUCAGCUUGUUGGUGGGGUAACGGCCCACCAAGGCUACGACGGGUAGCUGGUCUGAGAGGACGAUCAGCCACACUGGCACUGAGAUACGGGCCAGACUCCUACGGGAGGCAGCAGUGAGGAAUAUUGCGCAAUGGGCGAAAGCCUGACGCAGCGACGCCGCGUGGGGGAAGAAGGUUUUCGGAUUGUAAACCCCUUUUAGGAGGAAAGAUGGGGUGGGUUUCCACCCGGACGGUACCUCCAGAAAAAGCCACGGCUAACUUCGUGCCAGCAGCCGCGGUAAUACGAAGGUGGCGAGCGUUGUUCGGAUUUACUGGGCGUAAAGAGCACGUAGGCGGUUUAGUAAGCCCCCUGGGAAAGCUAUGGGCUUAACCCAUAAAGGUCGAGGGGGACUGCUAAGCUAGAGGGCGGGAGAGGAGCGCGGAAUUCCCG
rnacentral:rRNA from 1 species